rnacentral:rRNA from 1 species
CAUGAAGGCGGGGCCUAAUAACUGGCAAGUCGAGCGGACUUGACGGAAGCUUUGCUUCCGUUCAAGGUUAGCGGCGGACGGGUGAGUAAACGUGGGUAACCUGCCUGUAAGACUGGGAUAACUCCGGGAAACCGGGGCUAAUACCGGAUAUUCUUUUUCUUCGCAUGAAGAAAAUGGAAAGGCGGCUUUUAGCUGUCACUUACAGAUGGACCCGCGGCGCAUUAGCUAGUUGGUGAGGUAACGGCUCACCAAGGCAACGAUGCGUAGCCCACCUGAGAGGGUGAUCGGCCACACUGGGACUGAGACACGGCCCAAACUCCUACGGGAGGCAGCAGUAGGGAAUCUUCCGCAAUGGACGAAAGUCUGACGGAUCAACGCCUCGGGAGUGAAGAAGGUUUUCGGAUCGUAAAGCUCUGUUGUCAGGGAAGAACAAGUACGGAAGUAACUGGUCCGUACCUUGACGGUACCUGACCAGAAAGCCACGGUUAACUACGUGCCAGCAGCCGCGGAAU